ACCAGAUCAAUGGGUCCGUAGAUAUUGAUCCUUCAAGCACAAACAAUUCUUAUAAGUUACCCGCGGAAGUGCUGAAAUCUGCAGCCCAAUCAUUCAAUCUCUCCUAUGCAUUGAACUUUGCCUAUGACUAUGUAUGGAAAGACCUCGACAGGUCCUCCAAAUAUUACGUCUAUUUUCAUUUUUGUGAAAUGCAGCAGCUUCCCCCUGGCCAUAAAAGAAUACUGAAUACUAUUAUUACUGUUGAUGAUGAAUACGUUUACACCCAACCUAUAGUUCUUGAAUACUUGAAACCUCAAACCAUUGCUCCUAAAAUUAAAAAUCAAGGUUUUGUUCUUUUUAACAUCAGCGCGACAUCAGAAUCCGAUGCUCCUCCAAUCCUUAAUGCUUUUGAGGUUUACGAGUUCGUGUCACCUCUACAUUCCCCAACUGACCAAAGAGACGGGGAUGCUAUCAUAGACAUUAAAAACACAUACAAGAUCUCCAAUUUGGAUUGGCAAGGAGAUCCAUGUGUUGCAAAACUCGCUUGGGAAAGACUAAGCUGCAGUUCUGGGAUCAAUGACAAAAAUGCAAGAAUCGUCUUAGCGAACCUAAGCGCGACCAAAUUGGCAGGGCAAAUAACAACCACAUUUCACAACUCACAGAGUUAGAGUCCUUAGAUUUGUCAUUUAAUGACUUGUCGGGAUCAGUACCUGAAUUUUUAGCUAAACUACCCAAAUUGAGAGUCCUUAACUUGACUGGCAACAAACUCACAGGUUCCAUUCCCAAGGCUCUUCAGGAAAAGGCAGAUUUGCAAUUGAGUUUGGAGGAUAAUCCUGGCCUUUGCCUGGUUGAUUCAU